AAAAAAAUUUCUGCAGUCAUAUAGUUAAAAAUUCUAUGUAUCUUUUUUCGUUUGAUAUAAUAGAAAAUAUUGCAGUAAUAAAUAUUGAUAAAUGUAUUCUAUAUGAGGUAGUGAGAUUACCUCCUAAAUAGAAAAGAAAAAAAUGAUCUAUUAAAAAGAUUAUUAGGGAGACAAGUUUAUCUUUGUUUAAAAUUGACUGUAGUUGGAACUACAGCCAAUUUGGGCAUAAUUCAAACUGCUACUGUUGAACCUUCUCCUAUAGUUCCAACUGCAGCAGUUAGAGUGAAAUGCAUCAAACUAAAUACUGAAUUUAUAUUUACAUGAAAUUAAAACUGCCAUACAGUUACAAAUACAUGCAACCAAAUGACUCUAUAAUAUAGGUGUAGUUCUAACGGCUACAAUUAAGCCUCCUCAGAAAGUUGGAACUAUAAUGAAUAAAUACAAAUAUAUUAAACAAACGCCAAAUUAAAAAUAGUAUAUCGUUUAACUGCAGCAUAAUAAUAAUUACGUGCAGCCAAAUAGUCCCUAU
rnacentral:lncRNA from 1 species